CUAAAACAUGCAAGUCGAGCGCGAACGCCCUUCGGGGUUAUUAGAGCGGCGUAAGGGCGAGGAAUCCAUUUCUACGUACCCCAAGGUCGAGGAUAGCUCAGGGAAACUUGAGGUAAUACUCGAUGUGGUGCUUCGGCAUCAAAGGCUUGCUGCCUUGGGAGCGGGGAAUGUCCUAUCAGGUUGUUGGUGAGGUAACGGCUCACCAAGCCAUAGGACGGGUAGCGGGUGUGAGAGCACCGACCCCGCCGCAUCGGGACUGAGACACUGCCCGGACUCC
rnacentral:rRNA from 1 species